GGCGACGCUACGGGUGAGUAACGCGUAUCCAACCUGCCCUUUACUAUGGGACAGCCCGUCGAAAGGCGGAUUAAUACCGUAUGUUGUCAUGUUGAUGCAUAUUUUCAUGACCAAAGGCUUCGGCCGGUAAAGGAUGGGGAUGCGUCUGAUUAGCUUGCCGGCGGGGUAACGGCCCACCGGGGCGACGAUCAGUAGGGGUUCUGAGAGGAAGGUCCCCCACAUUGGAACUGAGACACGGUCCAAACUCCUACGGGAGGCAGCAG
rnacentral:rRNA from 1 species